UUUGAGCCUGCCCUUGGUCGCCUUAUGGAACUGUACGUGCAAGGAAAACUGAAGGUGAAAGAAACAAUUGAAAUGGGCUUGGAAAACGCUGGGAAAGCCUUUGUCUCCAUGAUGAAAGGGGGUAACAUCGGGAAGCAGAUUGUGCAAGUGACAAGAUGACCUCUUCACUAGUGGGUUUGGUUAGGUAGUUUUGUCCCAUUGCAAUGUGGUUCUUAGGGCGAAGUCCAUGGCAAUGAAGUAAAACUUAAGUCGAGUCUACUUUGAAUUUUUGAACAUUUGAAUGAGUGUGUGUGUGUGUGGGGGUUGGGGAGAGGGGUGGGUUAGAGUUAGAGAAGAGAGUGGACUGCUUUUUGCUAAUGGAAAAUAAUAAUUUAAAAAAAUCUUUGGCUCUCUAUUUUUUAAUCUUUAGUAGUUAUUGUUGAAGAAGUGAUUCAUUUGUCAACAAAUAUAGUGUAUUUGAUUAAAUUUUCAAGGAAACUUACACAAUCAACACUGAGGUUGUGCGAGUUUCCUUGAUAAUCUAAUACUAAUAGAAUCGUAUUUCAACCUGAUUGAUGCAAUCCUGCUUUUGUCAAGGCGAACUUGUGUGACUGCAACAAUGUGAUUUUUGGUGCUAUAGAUCAAGCAUACUGAUUUUUAUACUCCUGUUGUUUCCAAUAAAAUUUUGUUGAAGAUUGAUGUGCAUCCAUUAAUUACACUGAAUGACUUUUCAUUCUGCAUGUGUUUGUUGCUUUGAUUUAUUCCUGAAAUGCAAAGUUUUUCAAAUAUGUAUUUCAUCAUGGUUAUUAGGUCUUUGUGAAAAUAAUGGAGUAGAUCAAACUAGCAUUUUUCCGAACAUUGGAUAAUUUUUAUCAAUUUUUUAAUUUUGGGCUCAACACCUUUUAUGUACAUUUACAAACACAUUUCUGUUUUGAUUUUUAUUGACACGUGUUAAUGAAAAGGACAAAAGUUUCAAUAAAAGCAGUUUCCAAGAA